UAUUCAUCAGUUACCAAUAUAUUGCUUUAUUUCUUGGUAGUAAAUUAAGGCUUUAUAGUGAGAUCCAUACAGUAUAGGCCAAUUUAAACAUUAGGACCUUUAAAAACCACGCCGCGCUACUCAUUCAAUUUAGCAUAGCCAGAAAAGUAGAAACCUUUUUUAUAAACAGUUAAACAUCACAAGACCUUUCAUUUCAUGAGUGCAAGUGGCUCAAUCAAAUUCCCACCAUUCUCAAGAAUGCAUUCAACAUUUAACUCUCCCUUGGGUCAGCUCUGUAUUAAGGAUAAUGAAGAGUAUAAAUGGCUAGGAUGAAUGACACUGUAUAGUAUGCCUGAGAGAUCAAUUGUAUUAAAAAGAAUGGAAAAGAAAACUAUCCUGAUGGCAGCUGGCAAAGAAUGGUACCAGUCACAACCAUAUGUUGAUCUGGGGUGAUGAGGAACUGGAAGACAUUUUCCACACAAUCAUUUGAACCCCUGGCCCUUGUCAGGUUUGUACAGUGUUAUUUAGAAUUACCAAGUUUGGUCAUGAGAUAAAUAUUCCAUGUGGAAAGAAACACACAAUUAACCACAGGCAAAGGAAUAUACAUGAGGUAAAGGGUUUUUUUCUUCCUAAUGGGGACACAAUUCACCUCACAAGAGGGAACUUUCUGCAAACAUUUGUUGCCCCCAAAAUCAUGUGCUACCAACAUUUCCUUAGUGAUUAUGUAUUUUCUUAAACACAUGGAUUUUCACUUCAUAUCAGUGACAUUAUUAAUGUUGUCUGGAGAUCAUGAGGCUACUGUUUUUAUGAAAAACAGAUAGGAUGUUUCUUUCCCACAUCUCUCUACCAGAAACAUUUGUAGUGCUUGGGGCCUAACAUCUGAACCUGGUUGUCAAUCUUAUGCAGGGGCUUGCCUGCCUGAAAAUAUCAUCACUCCUAAUGUGUCUGGCAUUCAGAUCUGACAUGACUUGCCAGAAUCUGAGAGGGGAAAGCAGUUGCCAGAUGAUUAUGAUAUGAUGAAAUGAUCACAUGUUCAGGGGAAAAAAGAGGGCAAUGAGUAGGGGGAAAGCUUUAAAACUGAUGGUAUUAGCAAGAGAGUGGCUAUAUCAGGAACACCCGUUGGAGCAAACAGGUUCCAGGCAUACAAGGCAGUGCUGAUAUUUUUAGUCCUUGAUGUGUGAUAGAAUUUCUUAGAUUGAAGGAACACACAGACAUGAUUUCCUGGAAUCCAGUUCUAAUACAGAUAACAUCCCCAAUCCCUUUUUCCCAAGGAUGUGGUCUGAUAGCUGGUUUAUGACUUCCAAGUCUUGAAAUCUACAAUCCAGUAAACUGGAAGGCUGUGGAAAGUAUGCAACUUUCUGUGUAUAAGUACACAUACUGAACAGUAAAGUAUAUAUUUCAACACACGGGCAGAUAAUGGUUCCACUCGUCCUAAAACGAAUCUCAGUUGCACCAUUCCCUGGCAAGUGAAUGGUGAGGUGAAUAAACUGUUGGCACUGGUACAGCACAGCUAUACUGCGACUCUUAUAAGUUUGCUUUGGUAUGAACUAUUCUGUAACACUUAGUAAUUCCCGGUAUGACGUAGUACUACCUUCAUUCACCAUGGCAAUAACGUAGGUAGGAUCUCUCAGGCCAAACUGCAGCUAAGCAGAAAUUACUGACAUUUUCACUCCCUGGCUUAGAAAGGGAUACUGGCUGCUUCCAACAUCCCUUAAAAAUUUCCUUUUGCUCCAGUCCUAAUGCUUAUUGCACCCAAAGGGCCCCAGUAGAUAUAGUAG